AUACGUAGGUGACAAGCGUUAUCCGGAUUUACUGGGUGUAAAGGGAGCGUAGACGGAAGGCCAAGUCUGAUGUGAAAGCCCGCGGCUCAACUGCGGGACUGCAUUGGAAACUGGUCAUCUGGAGUGCAGGAGGGGUUAUCGGAAUUCCCGGUGUAGCGGUGAAAUGCGUAGAGAUCGGGAGGAACACCAGUGGCGAAGGCGGGUAACUGGACUGCAACUGACGCUGAGGCGCGAAAGUGUGGGGAGCGAACAGGAUUAGAUACCCUGGUAGUCCACACUGUAAACGAUGAAUGCUAGGUGUAGGAGGUAUCGACCCCUUCUGUGCCGCAGUAAACACAGUAAGCAUUCCGCCUGGGGAGUACGGUCGCAAGAUUAAAACUCAAAGGAAUUGACGGGG
rnacentral:rRNA from 1 species